rnacentral:rRNA from 1 species
UUGUGAGGCUGAUGUGUAGGCAAAUCCGCACAUCGAUAAGGCUGGGCUGUGAUGGGGAGCGAAAAUUGCAGUAGCGAAGGUCAUGAGUUCAGGCUGCCAAGAAAAGCCUCUAGCCAGGUGAAGGUGCCCGUACCGCAAACCGACACAGGUAGGCGAGCAGAGUAUGCUAAGGCGCUCGGAAGAACUCUCGUUAAGGAACUCGGCAAAAUGACCCCGUAACUUCGGGAGAAGGGGUGCCUCGGUAGGGUGAAUAGCCCGAGGGGGCCGCAGUGAAAAGGCCCAAGCGACUGUUUAGCAAAAACACAGGUCUGUGCGAAGCCGUAAGGCGAAGUAUACGGGCUGACGCCUGCCCGGUGCUGGAAGGUUAAGGGGAGUGGUUAGCCGCAAGGCGAAGCUAUGAACCGAAGCCCCAGUAAACGGCGGCCGUAACAAUAACGGUCCUAAGGUAGCGAAAUUCCUUGUCAGGUAAAUUCUGACCCGCACGAAUGGCGUAACGACUUGGGCGCUGUCUCAACGAGAGAUCCGGUGAAAUUUUAAUACCUGUGAAGAUGCAGGUUACCCGCGACAAGACGGAAAGACCCCAUGGAGCUUUACUGCAGCUUGAUAUUGGACUUUGGUACGAUCUGUACAGGAUAGGUGGGAGCCUUGGAAACCGGAGCGCCAGCUUCGGCGGAGGCAUCGUUGGGAUACCACCCUGAUCGUAUCGGAGUUCUAACCUGGUACCGUGAUCCGGUACAGGGACCGUGUCAGGUGGGCAGUUUGACUGGGGCGGUCGCCUCCUAAAAUGUAACGGAGGCGCCCAAAGGUUCCCUCAGAAUGGUUGGAAAUCAUUCGUAGCGUGCAAAGGCAUAAGGGAGCUUGACUGCGAGACCUACAAGUCGAGCAGGGACGAAAGUCGGGCUUAGUGAUCCGGUGGUACCGCAUGGAAGGGCCAUCGCUCAACGGAUAAAAGCUACCCUGGGGAUAACAGGCUUAUCUCCCCCAAGAGUCCACAUCGACGGGGAGGUUUGGCACCUCGAUGUCGGCUCAUCGCAUCCUGGGGCUGAAGUAGGUCCCAAGGGUUGGGCUGUUCGCCCAUUAAAGCGGUACGCGAGCUGGGUUCAGAACGUCGUGAGACAGUUCGGUCCCUAUCUGUCGUGGGCGUAGGAAAUUUGAGAGGAGCUGUCCUUAGUACGAGAGGACCGGGAUGGACGCACCGCUGGUGUACCAGUUGUUCCGCCAGGAGCAUAGCUGGGUAGCUACGUGCGGACGGGAUAAGCGCUGAAAGCAUCUAAGCGUGAAGCCCCCCUCAAGAUGAGAUUUCCCAGUAUGUAAGACCCCUGGAAGACGACCAGGUUGAUAGGUUCGAGGUGGAAGCGCAGCAAUGCGUGGAGCUGACGAAUACUAAUCGGUCGAGGGCUUAUCCU